UACGAAGGGGGCUAGCGUUGCUCGGAAUCACUGGGCGUAAAGCGCACGUAGGCGGCUUCUUAAGUCAGGGGUGAAAUCCUGGAGCUCAACUCCAGAACUGCCUUUGAUACUGGGAGUCUCGAGUUCGGGAGAGGUGAGUGGAACUGCGAGUGUAGAGGUGAAAUUCGUAGAUAUUCGCAAGAACACCAGUGGCGAAGGCGGCUCACUGGCCCGAUACUGACGCUGAGGUGCGAAAGCGUGGGGAGCAAACAGG
rnacentral:rRNA from 1 species